rnacentral:rRNA from 1 species
AGAGUUUGAUCAUGGCUCAGGAUGAACGCUAGCGGCAGGCUUAACACAUGCAAGUCGAGGGGCAUCGCGGGUAGCAAUACCUGGCGGCGACCGGCGAAAGGGUGAGUAACGCGUGAGCAACAUGCCCGAUACUGGGGGAUAGUCGAUGGAAACGUCGCGUAAUACCCCGUAACACACGGGACCGCAUGGUUCUAUGUUGAAAGAUUGAUUGGUAUCGGAUUGGCUCGCGUGCCAUUAGCUAGAUGGCGGGGUAACGGCCCACCAUGGCGACGAUGGCUAGGGGUUCUGAGAGGAAGGUCCCCCACAUUGGAACUGAGACACGGUCCAGACUCCUACGGGAGGCAGCAGUGAGGAAUAUUGGACAAUGGCCGGAAGGCUGAUCCAGCCAUGCCGCGUGCGGGAAGACGGCCCUAUGGGUUGUAAACCGCUUUUGCGGGGGAGCAAUAAGUUGUACGUGUACAACGAUGAGAGUACCCUGCGAAUAAGCAUCGGCUAACUCCGUGCCAGCAGCCGCGGUAAUACGGAGGAUGCAAGCGUUAUCCGGAUUUAUUGGGUUUAAAGGGAGCGCAGGCGGCUGUUUAAGCGUGCCGUGAAAUGCCGUGGCUCAACCAUGGCACUGCGGCGCGAACUGGGCGGCUUGAGUCGGCGGAAGGUGCGCGGAAUUCGUGGUGUAGCGGUGAAAUGCUUAGAUAUCACGAGGAACUCCGAUUGCGAAGGCAGCGCGCCGCAGCUGUACUGACGCUCAUGCUCGAAGGCGCGGGUAUCGAACAGGAUUAGAUACCCUGGUAGUCCGCGCGGUAAACGAUGGACGCCCGCUGUGUGCCAUUGCGGUACGCGGCCAAGCGAAAGCGUUAAGCGUCCCACCUGGGGAGUACGCCGGCAACGGUGAAACUCAAAGGAAUUGACGGGGGCCCGCACAAGCGGAGGAACAUGUGGUUUAAUUCGAUGAUACGCGAGGAACCUUACCCGGGCUUGAACUGCAGGGGAACGAUUCAGAGAUGAUGAGGUCCUUCGGGACUCCUGUGGAGGUGCUGCAUGGUUGUCGUCAGCUCGUGCCGUGAGGUGUCGGCUUAAGUGCCAUAACGAGCGCAACCCCUUCCGGUAGUUGCCAUCAGGUGAAGCUGGGCACUCUGCCGGUACUGCCACCGUAAGGUGCGAGGAAGGUGGGGAUGACGUCAAAUCAGCACGGCCCUUACGUCCGGGGCUACACACGUGUUACAAUGGGGGGUACAGAGAGCUGGCGCUGCGCGAGCCGCGCCGAAUCCUCAAAGCCUCCCUCAGUUCGGACCGGGGUCUGCAACCCGACCCCGCGAAGCUGGAUUCGCUAGUAAUCGCGCAUCAGCCAUGGCGCGGUGAAUACGUUCCCGGGCCUUGUACACACCGCCCGUCAAGCCAUGAAAGCCGGGGGCGCCUGAAGUCCGUGACCGUAAGGAGCGGCCUAAGGCAAAACUGGUGACUGGGGCUAAGUCGUAACAAGGUAGCC